rnacentral:RNase_P_RNA from 1 species
GGAGCAGGCAAGGUGGUCGCUCCCCGGCACUCUGCAGGAUGAUGUUAACACUGGCCAUUCCUCUGCUUUUUAACAUCUUCUUGCAGAGUGUCGGGGGGAGGAAAGUCCGGGCUCCACAGGGCAGGACAGUGGCUAACAGCCACCGGGGGUGACCCCAGGGAAAGUGCCACAGAAAACAGACCGCCCGGCACUCAGGCAUUUUUCACUGCCUUCUUGUUAAACAUACCGAAACAUAACCUGAGUGCCGGGUAAGGGUGAAAAGGUGGGGUAAGAGCCCACCGCUGGGGUGGUGACAUCCCAGGCAUGGUAAACCCUGUCCGGAGCAAGGCCAAAUAGGUUCCGCCCCGAGGGUUGCCCGCCCGAUUGUGCGGAACGGGUAGGCCGCUUGAGCCUGCAGGUAACUGUACGGCCCAGAUGAAUGACCACCCUCGACAGAACCCGGCUUAUUGCCUGCUCCAAAA